UCAGAACGAACGCUGGCGGCGUGCCUAACACAUGCAAGUCGAGCGAGAAAGUCCCCGCAAGGGGAUGAGUAAAGCGGCGAACGGGUGAGUAACACGUGGGCAACCUGCCCUUCAGUCAGGAAUAACCCCGCGAAAGCGGGGCUAAUACCGGAUGACGUCCUUCGGGGGCAUCCUCGGGGGACCAAAGGGGGCGAGCGAAAGCGGCUCCCGCUGAAGGAUGGGCCUGCGGCUGAUUAGCUAGUUGGUGGGGUAGCGGCCUACCAAGGCGACGAUCAGUAGCCGACCUGAGAGGGUGACCGGCCACACUGGGACUGAGACACGGCCCAGACUCCUACGGGAGGCAGCAGUGGGGAAUAUUGCGCAAUGGGCGAAAGCCUGACGCAGCGACGCCGCGUGGGUGAUGAAGGCCUUCGGGUCGUAAAACCCUGUCGGGUGGAACGAAUUCUGCCUUGCUAAUACCAAGGCGGCUUGACGGUACCACCGAAGGAAGCCCCGGCUAACUACGUGCCAGCAGCCGCGGUAAUACGUAGGGGGCGAGCGUUGUUCGGAUUUACUGGGCGUAAAGAGCGCGUAGGCGGUUCGAUAAGUCGGAGGUGAAAUCCCUCGGCUCAACCGAGGACCCGCGUCCGAUACUGUCGAACUUGAGUGCAGGAGAGGAGAGCGGAAUUCCCAGUGUAGCGGUGAAAUGCGUAGAUAUUGGGAGGAACACCGGUGGCGAAGGCGGCUCUCUGGACUGUCACUGACGCUGAGGCGCGAAAGCUAGGGGAGCAAACGGGAUUAGAUACCCCGGUAGUCCUAGCCGUAAACGAUGGGCACUAGGUGUGGGAGGUAUCGACCCCUUCCGUGCCGCAGCUAACGCAUUAAGUGCCCCGCCUGGG
rnacentral:rRNA from 1 species